CGCGACCUACGGGGGGCAGCAGUGGGGAAUAUUGCACAAUGGGGGGAACCCUGAUGCAGCGACGCCGCGUGGGUGAAGGAGUAUUUCGGUAUGUAAAGCCCUAUCAGCAGGGAAGAACAAUGACGGUACCUGACUAAGAAGCACCGGCUAAAUACGUGCCAGCAGCCGCGGUAAUACGUAUGGUGCAAGCGUUAUCCGGAUUUAUUGGGUGUAAAGGGAGCGCAGGCGGUGUGUUAAGCUUGGUGUGAAAGGCAGCGG
rnacentral:rRNA from 1 species